CAAAAUUCUCUGCGGAUGUCAUUACUCAUUGGUUUCAUCACCUCCAUAUCUAUCCAUCUACUGCCAUUUCCAUUAUCUUCCCAUUUCAAAUCUUCUUCAACCCCUUUAAGGAUUUUAAAAUUAUUUUGAUAAAUUAUGCUGAACUUCAAGAAGGGCCCAAUUGGAUCCAUGUCACAGGCCCAAAAGCCUUCUCAAAUCACAAGGGAAACGUGUUUUGAGUUUUUAGCUUCUCUUUCUCUCUCCAAGUCCUGGGUUUUAUAUAGUUGCUAAUGGGGAAGAAAGGUUUUAAUUUCUUAAAAUUGAGCUCAAAAUCGAAAAACCCAUUUCAAGAAUUUUGCUAUUGUUUGCAAGAUGGUACUUUUCAUGGGAUUUAGUUUGCAGUGCUUAAUGGAUUUGGUAGUGGCAGGAGUUUCUUUAAUGAUCGGAUUAGGUAUUUUCGCUUUCAUUGCUUCCAUUCUUUGCUCUGCUGCUUUCCUUCACAACGCCAAGGACCUCUCUUGAAUUUUAUAUAAUCAUGCGAAGGUGUUCAAGCCUGAAAAGUUGCAGACAAUUGUGCCUCAAUAAAAAAAGCCAGUUCUUUGAAAUUGCAGGGCAGUUCUAGCUCUCACUUGUAUUGUAUGUAUCCAAGAGGAAUGUUGUAUUUCUUGUUGCUUUACAACAAUUAAAAAAAUUCAAAGUUGAUUUCUUUUUAAA